rnacentral:rRNA from 1 species
UACAGAGGUCUCAAGCGUUGUUCGGAUUCAUUGGGCGUAAAGGGUGCGUAGGCGGCGCGGUAAGUCGGGUGUGAAAUUUCGAGGCUUAACUCCGAAACUGCAUUCGAUACUGCCGUGCUUGAGGACUGGAGAGGAGACUGGAAUUUACGGUGUAGCGGUGAAAUGCGUAGAUAUCGAGAGGAACACCAGUGGCGAAGGCGAGUCCCUGGACAACUCCUGACACUGAGGCACGAAAGCUAGGGGAGCAAACAGG